UACGUAGGGUGCGAGCGUUAAUCGGAAUUACUGGGCGUAAAGCGUGCGUAGGCGGUUCGUUAAGUCAGCUGUGAAAGCCCCGGGCUCAACCUGGGAACUGCGGUCGAAACUGGCGAACUAGAAUCUGGCAGAGGGGGGUGGAAUUCCACGUGUAGCAGUGAAAUGCGUAGAGAUGUGGAGGAACACCGAUGGCGAAGGCAGCCCCCUGGGCUGAGAUUGACGCUCAGGCACGAAAGCGUGGGGAGCAAACAGG
rnacentral:rRNA from 1 species